GUGCCCUUCGGGGUUACACACGAUAAAAUUGGUUAACAAUACAGAGAAGAUUAGCAUGGCCCCUGCACAAGGAUGACACGCUUUCCCGGAGUGGUAGACCUUAUGGGU
rnacentral:snRNA from 1 species